GGCAAGUCAGAGGCUGCCUGCCCGCCCCGGCUCUCCGGGCGGCCUGAUCGCGGGCAGCUUCCCUUCCUGGGCAUUCUGCUGGCAAAAAGUCAGAAGUGGAGGUGUAGCUCAAGUGGUAGAGCAUCAGCCAUGAAUGAAAACGCUGAGGAAGAAUGCCCAGUCUCUGAGUUCAAGACCCACUACUGGCACAAAGAAGGAGGAGGAAGAAGAGGAAUUAACUUGGUCGGAAAUGGAAGAGCCAGAGUUUGAUCCUAACCCUGAAUUAAAGUCCACAUUCCUACCCUAA